UACGUAGGAGGCAAGCGUUGUCCGGAAUUACUGGGUGUAAAGCGCGUGUAGGCGGCAGGCCAAGUCUGUGGUGAAAUCGCUCGGCUCAACUGGGCGGGGUCCAUGGAAACUGGUCAGCUGGAGGACGGUAGAGGUGAGUGGAAUUCCCGGUGUAGUGGUGAAAUGCGUAGAGAUCGGGAGGAACACCCGUGGCGAAGGCGGCUCACUGGGCCGGUCCUGACGCUGAGGCGCGAAGGCGUGGGGAGCGAACGGG
rnacentral:rRNA from 1 species